rnacentral:rRNA from 1 species
GAGCUCAAAUUUGAAAGCUGGCGUCUUCGGCGUCCGCGUUGUAAUCUCGAGACGUGUUUUCCGUGCGGCUCUAUGGACAAGUCCCUUGGAACAGGGCAUCGUAGAGGGUGAAAAUCCCGUACUUGCCAUGGAAGUACCGUGCUUUGUGAUACACGCUCCAAGAGUCGAGUAGUUUGGGAUUGCUGCUCAAAGUGGGUGGUAGACUCCAUCUAAAGCUAAAUAUCGGGGAGAGACCGAUAGCGAACAAGUACCGUGAGGGAAAGAUGAAAAGCACUUUGGAAAGAGAGUUAAAAGUACGGGAAAUUGUCUAAAGGGAAGCACUUGAAGUCAGCCAUGCUGCUUGAGACUCAGCCUGGCUUUUGCUUGGUGUAUUUCUCGGUAGCUAGCCAGCAUUGGUUUGUGUCGUCGGAGAAGCGUAUGGGGAAUGUGGCAUCCUCGGAUGUGUUAUAGCCCUGUGCAGGAUACGACGAGGUAGACCAAGGAACGCAGUGUGCCCUCUGGGCGAGCUUC